UGAUUUCAUAUAUUUUUUUUCUAAAAAUAAAUAAAACAUCUGAUUGUUUUUCCCUGUUACCCCCUCCCCCAAGUUAGGAGAGUAGGAGCAACAAAAGAAAAUAAAAGAGGUAGUGCGUGUUAUAGCCACAAUUUGGCACCCAAGGAGUUCCCUCCCCUCGGCCAUCCAAGUAGUCUCAUCCCAAGCUGAGCAUUGCAUCUCCUUCCCUAGGUGCACGCCCGACGUACAAGUGAGCAGAUAAAUCAAGAAAAGCCCUCUAUUAAUUUAUUUAUUUCAGCAAGGGUAGUUUGGCUUCAAGGAAGGGUCAGAUCAAUGUUGUAAUGUAUGUGCAUAAUGAAUCCUUAAUAAGCAUGCCAGGGUACUUUCACAUGUGGGGAAAUCGAAGAAGAGAGUGUUCAAGAACUUGUGAUGGGGUGUGGGAAAGAGNNNNNNNNNNNNNNNNNNNNNNNNNNNNNNNNUGGGGUGUUGGAAAGAGUUCAAGGAUGGAUGGAAAAGAUGCUAUCCGGUGCUACAAAAGGUUUCCUCAUCAAGUGAGUAGUGUUGGAACCAUGAACUCCGGUGAGCUCUUCACUCUCUCUCUCUCAAUGCUGAUGGUAAGAAGAAGAAAGACACUUCAGGUUUGCGCUGUGAACUGUUACAACUUUUCUCUCUUUCUAUUCCUCUUAUUUAUACUGUGAUUACAAAGAAG
rnacentral:lncRNA from 1 species